AUUUAAGUAGUUUAUUUAAAAUAUUAAUUUGUGGAAUUAAAGAAAUAUAGUGCUUUAAAGUCUUAAAUA
rnacentral:tRNA from 1 species